AUAAGUCUGGCUCCCUAUAUGCCAUUUUCAAAGCUCAUUGAAACGUUAAUAGUUUUUGUGUAUGGCGUGUAUGGAGCCAAACAUAU
rfam:Lupinus angustifolius cultivar Tanjil chromosome LG11, whole genome shotgun sequence.